rnacentral:sRNA from 1 species
GGAGAAGAAGAUGGAGAAGAGGACAAGAGUCCUGAUUUCUGCCUCCUGACCUACCCAGAGCACAGCAGAUCGACAUCUAUGAUGGUCUGUCUGGAAGCGGUACCGAAG